GAUGAACGCUGGCGGCGUGCUUAACACAUGCAAGUCGAACGGGAUCCCAGGAGCUUGCUCCUGGGUGAGAGUGGCGAACGGGUGAGUAAUGCGUGACCGACCUGCCCCAUACACCGGAAUAGCUCCUGGAAACGGGUGGUAAUGCCGGAUGCUCCAGUUGACCGCAUGGUCCUCUGGGAAAGCUUUUGCGGUAUGGGAUGGGGUCGCGUCCUAUCAGCUUGAUGGCGGGGUAACGGCCCACCAUGGCUUCGACGGGUAGCCGGCCUGAGAGGGCGACCGGCCACAUUGGGACUGAGAUACGGCCCAGACUCCUACGGGAGGCAGCAGUGGGGAAUAUUGCACAAUGGGCGCAAGCCUGAUGCAGCGACGCCGCGUGCGGGAUGACGGCCUUCGGGUUGUAAACCGCUUUUGACUGGGAGCAAGCCCUUCGGGGUGAGUGUACCUUUCGAAUAAGCACCG
rnacentral:rRNA from 1 species